AUUCUCAUUUUACUACGACUACCACACGCAUGUUUUGUCAGUAAGAUCUGGACAUACUUGUUACCUGUAUAAAACAAGUUCCCAGGAACAGAUGGACAUUCAUUCGUCACAUGGACUUCAUACAAUCGAGAAAAAUGUGAUCGAUAUCAUCGACUCCAAUCCGACUAUGGUCUCCAUAACACACGAUGAACUUGUUGCCAUGUAUUCAUCACAUGGACAUGUAUGUAACUCAAAGCGUUACACUACUAUUUAUCAGAUCAACUAGAUGUAUCAUCAAAUAAUUGGACUCCAUUCA